rnacentral:rRNA from 1 species
AUUGAACGCUGGCGGCAUGCCUUACACAUGCAAGUCGAACGGCAGCACGGGUGCUUGCACCUGGUGGCGAGUGGCGAACGGGUGAGUAAUACAUCGGAACAUGUCCUGUAGUGGGGGAUAGCCCGGCGAAAGCCGGAUUAAUACCGCAUACGAUCUACGGAUGAAAGCGGGGGACCUUCGGGCCUCGCGCUAUAGGGUUGGCCGAUGGCUGAUUAGCUAGUUGGUGGGGUAAAGGCCUACCAAGGCGACGAUCAGUAGCUGGUCUGAGAGGACGACCAGCCACACUGGGACUGAGACACGGCCCAGACUCCUACGGGAGGCAGCAGUGGGGAAUUUUGGACAAUGGGCGAAAGCCUGAUCCAGCAAUGCCGCGUGUGUGAAGAAGGCCUUCGGGUUGUAAAGCACUUUUGUCCGGAAAGAAAACCUUGGCUCUAAUACAGUCGGGGGAUGACGGUACCGGAAGAAUAAGCACCGGCUAACUACGUG